rnacentral:rRNA from 1 species
UACGUAGGGGGCAAGCGUUGUUCGGAAUUACUGGGCGUAAAGGGCGCGUAGGCGGCCCACUAAGUCGGACGUGAAAUCCCUCGGCUCAACCGGGGAACUGCGUCCGAUACUGGAUGGCUUGAGUUCGGGAGAGGGAUGCGGAAUUCCAGGUGUAGCGGUGAAAUGCGUAGAUAUCUGGAGGAACACCGGUGGCGAAGGCGGCAUCCUGGACCGACACUGACGCUGAGGAGCGAAAGCCAGGGGAGCAAACGGG